rnacentral:tRNA from 1 species
GACAGAUUAGCAUAUUAGUGCAUUGAUUUUAGAAAUCAAAUAAAGUUAUUAUUAUAACUAUCUGUUA